rnacentral:rRNA from 1 species
GUGCCAGCCGCCGCGGUAAUACGGAGGAUGCAAGCGUUAUCCGGAUUUAUUGGGUUUAAAGGGUGCGUAGGCUGUGGUCCAAGUCAGGGGUGAAAGCCCGGAGCUCAACUCCGGAACUGCCUUUGAUACUGGAUUGCUGGAAUACGGAUGCCGUGGGAGGAAUGAGUAGUGUAGCGGUGAAAUGCAUAGAUAUUACUCAGAACACCGAUUGCGAAGGCAUCUCACGAAUCCGUCAUUGACGCUGAGGCACGAAAGCGUGGGGAUCAAACAGGAUUAGAUACCCUGGUAGUCCACGCAGUAAACGAUGAUAACUAACCGUCGGCGAUAGACAGUCGGUGGCCAAGCGAAAGCGAUAAGUUAUCCACCUGGGGAGUACGUUCGCAAGAAUGAAACUCAAAGGAAUUGACGGGGGCCCGCACAAGCGGAGGAACAUGUGGUUUAAUUCGAUGAUACGCGAGGAACCUUACCCGGGCUCGAACGGCUAGUGAACGACACAGAGAUGUGAAGGUCCUUCGGGACACUAGUCGAGGUGCUGCAUGGUUGUCGUCAGCUCGUGUCGUGAGAUGUUGGCUUAAGUGCCAUAACGAGCGCAACCCUUGUCGCCAGUUACCAUCAUUCAGUUGGGGACUCUGGCGAGACUGCCACCGCAAGGUGUGAGGAAGGCGGGGAUGACGUCAAAUCAGCACGGCCCUUACGUCCGGGGCGACACACGUGUUACAAUGGUAGCUACAGAGGGAAGCCACCUGGUGACAGGGAGCAGAUCUCGAAAAGCUAUCUCAGUUCGGAUUGGAGUCUGCAACUCGACUCCAUGAAGCUGGAUUCGCUAGUAAUCGCGCAUCAGCCAUGGCGCGGUGAAUACGUUCCCGGGCCUUGUACACACCGCCCGU